CCUACGGGUGGCUGCAGUGGGGAAUAUUGGGCAAUGGGCGCAAGCCUGACCCAGCAACGCCGCGUGAAGGAAGAAGGCUUUCGGGUUGUAAACUUCUUUUGUCAGGGACGAAGCAAGUGACGGUACCUGACGAAUAAGCCACGGCUAACUACGUGCCAGCAGCCGCGGUAAUACGUCGGUGGCAAGCGUUAGCCGGAUUUACUGGGUGUAAUGGGCGUGUAGGCGGGGAAGCAAGUCAGAUGUGAAAACCACGGGCUCAACCUGUGGCCUGCAUUUGAAACUGUGUGUCUUGAGUGCUGGAGAGGCAAGCGGAAUUCCGCGUGUAGUGGUGAAAUGCGUAGAGAUACGGAGGAACACCAGUGGCGAAGGCGGAUGGCUGGACAGUAACUGACGCUGAUGCGCGAAAGCGUGGGGAGCAAACAGGAUUAGAUACCCUUGUAGUC
rnacentral:rRNA from 1 species